UACGAAGGGUGCAAGCGUUAAUCGGAAUUACUGGGCGUAAAGGGUGCGUAGGCGGUUGUGUAAGUCUGUCGUGAAAUCCCCGGGCUCAACCUGGGAAUGGCGAUGGAUACUGGACAGCUAGAGUGUGUCAGAGGAUGGUGGAAUUUCCGGUGUAGCGGUGAAAUGCGUAGAGAUCGGAAGGAAUAUCAGUGGCGAAGGCGGCCAUCUGGGACAACACUGACGCUGAAGCACGAAAGCGUGGGGAGCAAACAGG
rnacentral:rRNA from 1 species